CAAUACAUAUUCCAGCUCCCAUAUUAUUUCUCUCUCCUACAUGGCACACUCACAAUGCUUUAUUUUAUACUAUCUGAAAGCCUUUUUUCUCACAAUUUUACAAAGCCUUAUGCUGUUUGAAAGCUUCAGCCGUUAAUUUACUCAAAGCUCUCUCCAUUUGUCUGCAAAUUUCAUGCUCAAUCAGCCGUUACAUGCUUAGAGUAGCAAUUGAUUUGCAAAUCCUUCUAAAAUCCCCUCUCUCGCCGUCUGCAAUCCCCUCUCUCGCCGUCUGCAAAUCUUUCUCAUGAUCUUUCCCAAUCUUCUUGCUAAUCCUUCUCAAAUCCCAUCGUCCGCCCUCUGCAUCAUUAUCACAACAAUUCACUCUCCCUCCGUCUGCCGAUCCUUAUCACAGCAAUUGAUCUGAUAAUCUCUAUCCAUCGCGUCCCAAGUCGCUGAUACAUCGAAAUUGGAAAUCAGGAUGCGGUGCUCUACCUCACCCGCCUGAUUUCGGAACCUAUUUUGAAAGGUGCAGAUUUUUCUGGUUAAGAGUAAACCUCAUCAGGUUAAAGUGAUUCUGAUCUCAAAAAUGGGUGAGCAUGCUACUCCAUUCAUUUGCCAAGCUGCUAGAACUUACUCAUCGUAUGCCACCUUCGCCUUUGCUAUGUGGAAACCAGAGGAAUCUGCUUUCUGGUGGAAUAUGUUUGGUGUUGAGUCUGCUCCUGCAAUAGUAUUUAUGAAAGAUCCAGGAGUUGAUGAACCUGUUAUUAUAAAGCAAGUUGGACUUAAGGCUACAAGAGAAUGGAAUGGUCUUUAUACUAAUUGCAUCGUUAACAUGUGAUUGUUCGUAUCUCUACACCUGAUGUAGAUUUUCUUUGGUGCUUAUUUGUUCUGAUAGUCUAUUCAAUUACAUUGAUGUUUAGUAUUCACUCACACAGGAGUCUUAAAUAACUAUGUAGAAAGUCAUUAGAAUUGUUGGCAGUCUCCAACCCCGUUUUAUGUGCUGAAAAUGAUUCAUCCUCUACUGUUUUUUCUAAUAUUCAAUUUUCUUGAUAGGGUAUCUUUCUUAAUGUUGUUAGUGGAGUUAGCCUAACAGAGACAGCUGGUCAUCUAGCAAUAGCAGCUGCAAUUUGCAGCAGGCAUGAUUUUUAGUAACAAGUGAUAAUUCAUUAUCCACUUCGACAUAUGCUAUAUAUUUGUUGUGAUAAGAACUGUAUGAUAUUGACGAGUAUGGUAAACUAAUUGGUUUCAUCUACUUGCAUGUUCAUAUGUAGUUAACUUAGAUACAAUUAUCUUCCUUCAGGUUCUUUGAAUUCCCCAUACUGCACAACAUAGCAUUCGUUGGCGAACUUCGGUAGCACAAUUGGAGAAACGAGUAAGCACGGUGGCAAAGCUGGGAUAUAAGAAAUGUAACGUCUCCAAGUCAGCAGAGAAGUUGUUGUCGGAGGUGCAGCGAGGGCCGGAGGCCAUGGAGAUUGUGGGAUGCAAUAAUUUAAAGGAGAUGAUUAACUCUGUUUUCACUAGAAAGUGAUGAAAAUCAGCUUGGUUUGUAUAUUUCUUCUAGAUAUUCACUGUGGCUUGUGCAGCACUUGGGUUUUUUCUUUUGGUGAUUGCUAACAGUAGGAGGCAUGCCCAAUUUUCACUCCAAGAUUGUCAGUUUUAUGUUGUAGUACCUGCCAAUUUUCUAUUGUUUUUUCAUGGUGAAAGUUCACCAAAGCCUCAUUUAUUCUAUAAAA